UCCCAAAGACGAGACGUUGGUGAUGUUCUGCUGCUGCCGGGCGGGCCAGCCUGUAACUCAGGCGUUGGCGGGAGCCUCGUGCUCCGCGGGGCUUCUUGAAGAGGGUGAGGUGUGGGGGUACCGUCCUGUAGGCAGGGCUGUGUGUGCCCCCCGUGUGUGCUUGGUGAGCUGUGUUCUGAGAGACCCCCUGUACUCAGGUGGGAAUGUGGCCCCGGCCUUUCAGAGGCGCGGGGCCGUGAGAUGCGGGGUGGGGCUUGCGCCCUCCCUGGAAUCGGGGCUGGGAUCCCGACUGCGGCCUUUGGCCGUGCCGCCCCGCUGCCUGGCUGCUGAGAGUUGCUCCUGCCGCUGGGGGGGAAACCGAGCUCUGUGGCUCCAGGGGUGUUGUCCACCCGCCUGUAAUCAGGGUCUGGGUGCGCGAGCGUUUGUGCUCUGCUGGCAGCCUGUGUGGGGUGACCGCCCCGCUAGCGGGGUGUGGGUCGAGGUGCCCCGGACUGGGAGAGAAGGAGCCUCCCUCGGCCGUAGGGAUGGGGGCUGCCCUGUAAGUCAGGGAGCAUCUGUGUCCCGGAGUCCCAGGCCCUUUUCGAUGGCGGCAGUGGCCGGGGGUCCCCUGUAAGCAGGGAAGCUGACUCUUUGGCUGCUGCUUUUUGUGUGCCCAGCCCCAUUUGCCCAGUCUGCCCGCCUCUGUGAUCCCCCGCAGCACUGGCUGGAAGUCCGCCGCGUGUCAGUGAG
ensembl:lncRNA